rnacentral:lncRNA from 1 species
AAAAAAAAUCUCACCCAAAUAGAGCAGUGAAGAAUGACAUGAAAACCACUCUCCAAGUCAGCUUGGGCAUGUUCUGCCUGUAAAUAAAUAGAUAAUCAAAAACAAUUUAAUCAAUUUUUUUUUUUAAGUAUUUAUAUAUGAAUGCACGGAGUAUUAACAACCUUUAAAAAAUAAGAGGUGGUAGCUGCUGCAAAAAUGAGACUAUAAGCGGUGAGUACACUUACGUUACGCUUGCUCCAUCGUUAACGGCAAUUACAACCUCCACCAUCGAUCACCAAGGCUAGGGUGUUCAAUAAUCAUGGAUUAGCAAAUCGUACUGAUUAAGUAGCAACUUAUUAAGUAGCAAACAAAAGAAGAAUAAUA